rnacentral:lncRNA from 1 species
CAAUCUGCAGGUGUCCACGGUGAGUCCUCCCCAGUAGGAGGAGAGAGGAGUCUCUCUGGAAGGCAAACGCCACAGCUGCCCAGAUGUUCUCCUGCAGGGGAACCAGACACCGUCAUGACCCAGAAGGGCUGCACUUCUCCGGGGUUUGCAGAAUGUGGCAGAGGUGGAAAACUCCAAAGUCCUUAAACACAGAUUUUUUGGAAUUAAUUCGAAGUACAUUGCAAUCACGAUGGCCUUUUACUUCUAAAUUCUACACUCUGCACCUCUAAAAUAUACAAGCAUGUCCCAGGACCACCCUCAACUACUUCGGGUCCCUCGGAAAAGGGUAAGGUCAGCCAGGCUGGACACCACGCUGUGGGUGGCCUUAGGUCCUGCAAGCAACUGUGGCCACCAGCGUUGCAGCGGCAAGGAGGCUUGUGUCACUUUCACAACCAGCGAAGCCAUGUGUAGGCUCUGUGUCGAGGAAGAGAACCCCACCGCCUCCUUCUGGAUGGCAGGUGUCCCUCUCGGCUGAGCAGGGCUGUCUGGGACCAUGACAUCCACCUGGGCUUUCCUGGCCCCCAGAGAAGAGCUGUCCAGUGCAUGUGCUGGCUGCACCGCGACGUCUCCUAUGAACAAGGCCCACAGGCAGUGGCUGGCUGAGUGGACACCCCUGCCCUGAGCUGGAGUCUCCCCAGGUAGCUGCUUCUUCCCCACCCCGAGGGUCACAGCCCAGCCCAAGCUCCAAGGGAAUCGAGCAACUGCCUGCACCAAGCUUCCCUCCUCUGGAGAAGGCACCUCCUCUUCUCCCUCAUGUGCUCCCUGAUGACCGCCAUUCUCCUUGACAUGGUUCCCAGGACCAGCCUCUCCCAGGGUCCUGAAUCCCAGUACCCCAGUCCUCACCAUUUGUGACCUUUCAGCCCCUGCUGAACCCUGCCAGCCCCAGGACAGGCCACAGCUGUCAUGCCACGUCCCAGCCAUGAUGAACGGGGAACAGGGAACUGUCUGACCUUGGGCUGGGUUCAAAAGCGGGGUCAGCCCAGGCACAGAGGCUGUUUGUUUGAGUGAAUUAAGUGGGAGGCUGUUUUCUCCCCGGGCUGGGGAGGGUUCAGAGGAUUGUGGUAUCUUUGUUUUCAUUCAAGGCUCCACCAGCCGGGGCCCUGGCAGGAACCAGAGUUCACUCAACCGUUCAUAGAAGGAUGCCUUGCAGAGGCACUGGCAGGGUGAGCAAGAGUGGUGUGGAACUUGGAGGGGGGACCACGGUGGAUGUCGUCGCCACCUCCGGCCUGAGGAGCAGGGCAAGAGCCACGCUGCUGGGUCCCAGGGAGGCCAUGGGGGCCCUCCACAGAGGCUGGGCCUGGAGACUGGGGGUCCCCGUGAGGCCAUACGGGCCCUCCACAGAAGCUGGGCCUGGAGACUGGGGGUCCCCAUGAGGCCAUACGGGGCCUCCACAGAAGCUGGGUCUGGAGACUGGGGUCCCCUGAGGCCAUACGGGGCACUCCACAGAAGCUGGUCUGGAGACUGGGGGUCCCCAUGAGGCCAUACGGGGCCCUCCACAGAAGCUGGGUCUGGAGACUGGGGGUCCCCAUGAGGCCAUACGGGGCACUCCACAGAAGCUGGGUCUGGAGACUGGGGGUCCCCAUGAGGACAUACGGGGCACUCCACAGAAGCUGGGUCUGGAGACUGGGGGUCCCCAUGAGGACAUACGGGGCCCUCCACAGAAGCUGGGUCUGGAGACUGGGGGUUCCCAUGAGGCCAUGCAGGGCACUCCACAGAAGCUGGGUCUGGAGACUGGGGGUUCCCAUGAGGCCAUGCGGGGCCCUCCACAGAAACUGGGCCUGGAGACUGGGGUUCCCAUGAGGCCAUGCGGGGCCCUCCACAGAAGCUGGGUCUGGAGACUGGGGUUCCAUGAGGCCAUACGGGGCUCUCCACAGAAGCUGGGUCUGGAGACUGGGGUUCCCAUGAGGCCAUGCGGGGCACUCCACAGAAGCUGGGUCUGGAGACUGAGGGUCCCAGCUCUUGCCAGCAGUGCAGCCCCAUGCAGGGAGGGCAUGAGGAAUAAAUGCCCCGACCUC